rnacentral:rRNA from 1 species
GACGAACGCUGGCGGCGUGCCUAAUACAUGCAAGUAGAACGCUGAAGGAGGAGCUUGCUUCUCUGGAUGAGUUGCGAACGGGUGAGUAACGCGUAGGUAACCUGCCUGGUAGCGGGGGAUAACUAUUGGAAACGAUAGCUAAUACCGCAUAAGAGUAGAUGUUGCAUGACAUUUGCUUAAAAGGUGCAAUUGCAUCACUACCAGAUGGACCUGCGUUGUAUUAGCUAGUUGGUGGGGUAACGGCUUACCAAGGCGUCGAUACAUAGCCGACCUGAGAGGGUGAUCGGCCACACUGGGACUGAGACACGGCCCAGACUCCUACGGGAGGCAGCAGUAGGGAAUCUUCGGCAAUGGACGGAAGUCUGACCGAGCAACGCCGCGUGAGUGAAGAAGGUUUUCGGAUCGUAAAGCUCUGUUGUAAGAGAAGAACGAGUGUGAGAGUGGAAAGUUCACACUGUGACGGUAUCUUACCAGAAAGGGACGGCUAACUACGUG